rnacentral:rRNA from 1 species
GGGAGUGAAAUAGAACCUGAAACCCUGCACUUACAAGCUGUGGAAGCACAUUUCUUGUGUGACCGCGUACUUUUUGUAGAACGGGCCAACGAGUUACGUUAAGUAGCAAGGUUAAGCACUUAAGGUGCGGAGCCGUAGCGAAAGCGAGUUUUAACUGAGCGUUCAGUUACUUGACGUAGACCCGAAACCGGGCGACCUACCCAGGAGCAGGAUGAAGCGAAAGUAAAAUUUCGUGGAGGUCCGAACCAACGAGCGUUGAAAAGCUCGGGGAUGACUUGUGGGUAGCGGUGAAAUUCCAAUCGAGCCCGGAGAUAGCUGGUUCUCCCCGAAAUAGCUUUAGGGCUAGCCUCAAGGUGAGAGAUACGGAGGUAGAGCACUGAAUGUCCUAGGGGGUAUUGCACCUA